rnacentral:misc_RNA from 1 species
GGACAGAUUCUUAAAUUUAAUAAACUCAAGCUUUUGUCAGGGUAGUUUGUUAGAUCAAGCAGUAACAUCAUAUAAAAAUCUUUUGAUCCCUUUUUCUUUUCAGUUUGGUAGACUGAAUGUAUGGUCCUGCAAGUCCUGUAGGUGUCCCUACUCUGUGCUAUAUCAGCAUUGAUUAUGCAAUUGAUUCGAAGACACUAAUUUUCCUUGACAUUAAAAAUUUAUAUAGGAAACAGU